UACGUAGGGUGCGAGCGUUACUCGGAAUUACUGUUCGUAAAGCGUGCGCAGGCGGUGAUGUAAGGCAGUUGUGAAAUCCCCGGGCUCAACCUGGGAACUGCAUUUGUGACUGCAUCGCUGGAGUGCGGCAGAGGGGGAUGGAAUUCCGCGUGUAGCAGUGAAAUGCGUAGAUAUGCGGAGGAACACCGAUGGCGAAGGCAAUCCCCUGGGCCUGCACUGACGCUCAUGCACGAAAGCGUGGGGAGCAAACAGG
rnacentral:rRNA from 1 species